UACGUAGGGAGCAAGCGUUGUCCGGAAUUACUGGGCGUAAAGGGCGCGUAGGCGGCCUGCUAAGUCGAACGUGAAAUCCCCGGGCUCAACCCGGGAACUGCGUCCGAUACUGGUUGGCUUGAAUCCGGGAGAGGGAUGCGGAAUUCCAGGUGUAGCGGUGAAAUGCGUAGAUAUCUGGAGGAACACCGGUGGCGAAGGCGGCAUCCUGGACCGGCAUUGACGCUGAGGCGCGAAAGCCAGGUGAGCAAACGGG
rnacentral:rRNA from 1 species